rnacentral:rRNA from 1 species
UUCCAGCUCCAAUAGCAUAUACUAAUGUUGUUGCGGUUAAAAAGCUCGUAGUCAGAGCUGUGUCCCGCGCUGCCGGUCCACAGACUGUCUGUGCCGACUGCGCACGUCGCGAGGACGUCCUGGCCGGAAGCGGCGUAGCCGAAGUUCUGUUCGUAGUGCAGGUUCGUCCUGUGCGCGGCAGUUCUAAGGUGAGCUGCAAUUUAGGUCCCGACCUGGUGCUCUUAAUCGAGUGCCUAGGAGGGCCGGCACUCUUACUUUGAACAAACUCGAGUGCUCAAAGCUGGCCUUCUGGCCUAGACGCUGUGUGCAUGGAAUAAUGGAAUAGGACUUCGGUUCUAUUUGGUUGGUUCUACGAACCGAAGUAAUGAUCAAAAGGAGCAGGCGGGGGCAUUCGUACUGCGACGUUAGAGGUGAAAUUCUUAGAUCGUCGCAAGACGGACAAAAGCGAAAGCAUUUGCCAAGGAUGUUUCCACUGAUCAAGAGCGAAAGUUGGAGGAUCGAAGGCGAUCAGAUACCGCCCUAGUUCUAACUAUAAAUGAUGCCAGCCAGCUAUGCACCGCAGUCGCCUUUGACUCGGAGCGAAGCUUCCGGGAAACCAGAGCUUUCAGGUUCCGGGGGAAGUAUGGUUGCAAAGCUGAAACUUAAAGGAAUUGACGGAAGGGCACCACCAGGAGUGGAGCUUGCGGCUUAAUUUGACUCAACACGGCAAAAUUUACCAGGGCCGGACAUACGCAGGAUUGACAGAUUGAAGAUCUUUCUUGAUUGUUUGGGUAGUGGUGCAUGGCCGUUCUUAGUUCGUGGACUGGUCCGUCUGGUUAAUUCCGAUAACGAACGAGACUCUAACCUGCUAAAUAGUCCACAUCGAGAUCCCUCCGGGGCUAUCUGAGAGAAAUCCUUCUUAGAGGAAACAGCGGCCUCGAGUCGCAUGAUAUAGAGCAAUAACAGGUCUGGAAUGCCCUUAGAUGUCCUGGGCCGCACGCGUGCUACAAUGAAGAAAGCAGCGUGAAAAAUCCUAGGCCGAGAGGUCCGGGUAAUCAGUUCAAACUUUUUCAUGCAGGGGAUAGGGGCUUGCAAUUGACCCCUUGAACAAGGAAUUCCCAGUAGGCGCGAGUUAGGAGCUCGUGUCGAUUGAGUCCCUGCCCUUUGUCCACACCGCCCGUCGCUACUUCCGAUCGAAUGGGGUAGUGAGGUCUCCGGACCGAUGCUACAGGUCCAAAAGACCUUAGUUUUGGGAGGCUGACCAAACUUGCUCGUUUAGAGGAAGUAAAAGUCGUAACAAGGUUUUCGUAGGUG